rnacentral:tmRNA from 1 species
GCGCUUGACCUGUGCUUUCUGUUGCGGCAGAUUGAAGGGGCCAAAGGAAUACGUUGGCUAAGAUGUUACAAGGGAUAACAGAAUAAACGUUCAGGACCUGGGGGCGGUACCCAGCGCCUCCACCAUAAGACCAGCAUAUGGCAUGGUGAUUUUAUGAUGGGGGCGAAAUAGGAUCGACUGGCGCAGUAAAAGUUCAUUCUACAUCCGGCAUGAUACCACCGUUAUCGGGUCACGUUGUUUAAACGCAAACGACAACUAUGCGGCUCCUGCCGCAAUCGCCGCCUAAUCACGGGUGACGGCCAAGCCUGGCAAGCGGUAACGCUGGUGGCAACAGAAGCCAGGCAUU